GGAGCAGAGAGAGGCCAACACGGCUGUACCCAUAUCUAAACGGGAAGACGCUCAAGGCGGCAACGGCGACAUGGAGAAGCAGGGCGGCGACCCGCCAGGCGGCGCGCUCCCAUUGAAGGGGCCUGUUACUGUGCUGAGGGCAUCGCAUGGGGAUAAACACACCAGUGACACGUGCUUGGAGCAUGAUGAAAUUAACAAAGCCCAAGAAAUAUUGUUUGAAGAAAAAAGAGAUCCCGAAGAUAUGGACGAUCAACAUCUAUAUGAGGAACAGGGGCAAGAAAUAGAUGAUGAUUUAACUGAAACUGAAGUGUCAGAUAGUCUACUGUGCGACGGUGUGAUAAAUUUGGUAACCACUUUUUUUUGGAUUUUUGCUUUGAUGAAUGCAUCUCAUGUCUUCAUUUUUUUCCUCAUUGAGCAACCAACAAGUGAUAGAGGUGGGUAUGUGCUACGACUAAUUGAAAAUAACGCACCCAACUCAAAGAACUUGUGCUUUCUCCCUACAAUAGUUUAAUAUAUAUGUUUUUGAAGUGACUCGUAAUUCUGGUAUAUAUACAGUUUAUGUUGCCAGGUUAUCUCAUAGACAGUUUUUUUUGUCUCUGAUGUUUUGUCUUAUGAUUUUUUCUUGCAGGUAAGAAAGAGUAUUGAAAGAGUAUAUAUACAGUUUUAGUAUUUUUUCCAUUUUCCCCCUUUUUUAUAAGUAUGAGUUUUCAACGUCUUUAUUUUACUUGGCAACACAAUAACAAUGUCUGAAGUUUUCUUUGUUCGCUUAUUGUAAUUUUUUUUAGGUCCGGUGCCUUGAUUUUAUUGACUUUGGGACCAUACAACUAGAGUGUACAUUGCCAAGAAUUUGUAUAUGGAAGGGGAACCCAAGACUAUCACCCAAGACUAUCUCAAAGGCAUUUCUUCUUCCACACUGCUAGUGAAUACUUCCUACAAAAGUGGAAGAAUGAAGCAUCGAGAUUGCAGUUUAGAGAUAAAUUAAUAAAGAGUUUCAUAGGAGCUGGAAAAGCAAAGGAUCUUCAGCAAUGUAACGAAUUAUUUUUUCCAACGCUACACAAGUCGCACUGGUUCAUUUUCCUGGUGGACCUGUGUGCCCAUAAAUUCAUCUUCCUGGAUUCAAAGUAUGAUGGAGAUAGCACAUACCACAGGACAAUAAAGCACAUGAUGAUUGAAAAUUUCAAACGAGCUUGGAAUGAUGCUGGUCUAAGGAAUAUGGGAUACAGACACUAUGAAACUGCAUAUCCAAACUUACCGAAGCAGGAAGGAUGCGAUGCUUGCGGGAUUUUUGUCUUGAAUUGGUUAGAGAACUGGCGUUCUAGGAAUGCGUUGCAAUCAGUCUUCACGCACGAUAUGGUCCAAGAUGCACGUAUAAGGUUUGCAGUCGAUAUUUUGUUCAGUGAACACAACAUUCUCGAUGAAGGGAAAAGGAUUGUAAAGGAUUUAUGAAAUAUGAGUUAAGAGACACUUUCCAGAAAACUCUCCAGUGGACAUAGCAAUACAAAGAUAAACAAUUCAACUAUAGUUGCGAAAAUGGCAAGACUCCGUCUCUUCAAUUGUUUCUCUCACAAACAAUGGCGCAGAAUUCGAAGUUCAUGCGCAUGAAGCAAGGAAGCGUGGUGUCAAGUAGAUAACAAAACAUUUUUACGUGUUUCAGAAUUUUUUUGUUUCGUUUGUACACUCUGUGGCCAUGUAUAAAGUACUACGAGGAAGAGAAUGAAUGCAAAUGAGUAUGCAAAUAUAUUCGAAGUACUAUGAGGAAGAGAUUUGAAUGCAAAUGAGUAUGCAAAUAUAUUCAAAGUUUUUUUGUAUA